AGUGGGCAUUGGCAAAUGGCAAUAAAUUAUCUGGUGGAGGAUCAGGGCAGAUCCUCAGAGAAGGGGACAUGUAAGAUGGGUUUGGACGGGUGACGAGGAGCUUGGCAAUAGACACGGGGGUGGGAGAAUGUUCAAAAUAGAAGGAACUGCAAACAACUUUGGGGAUCUGUAAGAGGUUUAGUGUUAGAGGAAUGUGAAGCGGGAGAAGGGGAGGCAGGACCAGCCACCACGGUUUUGGGGCCCUGUGUAAAAUGAAAAUGCCGAUCCCACAUUCAAAAGUGAUUCAGAAUUUCAAGACAGCAAGGCUGAGCCUGAAAUCAAGCCUGGGGCCCUGUGGAGUGCGGGGCCACGGCCACGAGGCCAGCCUGAGGCUGGAGCCCAAGUUAGACCGGAAGGACGACCUCAUCGCCCAGGGCUUUCCUGGUCAUGCUUGGACUCGGGCUCUGUCCCAAAGUCGACCGAGGCCAGGAGAGAUUUCUGAGCUGGGGUGAAGCGAGGCCAGGCUUGUUUUUGACAAAGACCAUGCUGGGGCCGCACUGAAGUCAGGACAGGAAGGCUGGUCAGGAAGAGAGUGAAAUGGCCUGAAGAGAGAGGACGAGGAUGGGAGAGUGACAGCGGGACAGAGGCGCCGGGACCUGAAGGAUCCUUCGGUGAACCCUCUCAGGACCCACCGCACCCAGUGUGCCACACGAGGCCGAUGUUUCACUAACCCACAUCGGGGGAGCCAAAUCGCCCCCUGCCUAGGGCCCCAGCCUCGAGAGGAAGCUGUCAUCACUGUUCCAGAACUCUCCUUGGAUUUGCAUUUCCUGACUUGGGUAUUGGUGACACCACUUUUCAUGUCCUGACUGAAUCAAGACGGGCCCUUUUUUGGGGGUGAGGGAGCCAGUGAGUGCUGAGGCAUCCCUGAGGCAGGGAACUGUUCCACACAGCAGGGAGAGGAACUGCGCAGACCCCACCCCCAGCCCUCCUGCUGCCAGGAAGACAGCAGGUGCUUCUAGUGCCAGGGUGGGGUGCCAGGACCCCUCCCCCUUCAUAGGGCCCCUCUUCUGAUCCUCAUCACAGUGCCUUGGGGGCACUGUGAACCCCUUUACACAUGAGCACCGCAGCUGCCUGAGUCUACAGCCCCCUGCCCACUAGCAGGUGUGGGUAGGAUGAGGAUGGGACCCGGUCCCCAGCUCCUGGGUGCCUCCCCAAAGCCCCUCCCAGCUCGAGCAGAUGCCUGGGAACAGCCUCGGUUCUUUUGCUUCCACUUCACAGGUGGAGAAACAGAAAAGAGGAGAUGAAACAGUGAGACACCUGGGUGAAACCCGUCUUGUUUCUAGGAUGGGGUGAUUUUAUUUAAACCUGGCAUGGAGUGGAUGUCUCCAUUAGCUUAUCUGUAAAAAAAAAAAGAAACAACAUAAAAAGAGGAGUCUGGUCCAUCCCAGAGAGGAGGGAAUGCGGAGGCAUAUUUAACGCUUUUGAAGGGAAACAAACACACGUGGCAGCUAAGUAAGUACAGUUACAAUCGGCUGCGUUGGGCUCCAUUGUUCCAAGAACUGUUUGAAAACAUGCAUGUCCUCCUGCAGUCGCAAGGCUGGCUUGGAGAGUCUGCACUUUCUGGAAGCCGGAGGGCGUGGCGAGGCAGGUGGAGGAGGAGAGGGCGGAGGCAGGGCUGGAGAGCCUCGCUGUCUGGGAGGAGGAGGGAGAUGGGAGGUGGUCAGCAGCCCAGGAGCGCCCCAGGAAGCUCGAGGCAACCAACCCCGAAGCCAAGGCCGCUCUCUGGGUCGGUUGGUUGCCUGUUUAAACUGGGAUAGUGAUCUUAGGAGCAGAAAAAGCUUCCUGCACGUAAGAGCUUGGCUGACAGAAAAAGUCCACAACCUGCAGGCUGGAUGGAGCGCCGGGCUCUGCAGCAGUCUUCCGGGCUGCCAAAGGGCGAGGGCCUCGAAGGGCACUUGAAACAACACAGUGACUCUGAACGAAUCCGUGUGUCUCAUCCUUACAGAAACAUACCCUGUGUAAAUGAGUCACAAGCUUUCGAGAAUAAAAUCCAAUUUUCCUGUCAGAGGGAAAGAUGACCCCCCAGACUGCCGGGGGCUGGGAGGCUGGCCGCAGGCCGGUUCCCCCAGCCCCUGCCUCUCCUUUGUGAAGCCUGGAAAAUGGAGCAGUGGGGGAAUCCUGUGGCGGCUGAGUGUGCCUGCACCGUCGACGGAUGACUGUGCAGCCCAGGUCCCUCGUGUUCUGAGGGCAUCGUAGUGGAGCUGCCGCCGGGGCCUUUCAGGAGUUCGGGUGAACUCCUCAAUAGCAGGUUUUUUUUCCCUCUUCUUUUCAACAUUCGCCUUCUUUUCUUACAUCCUCAUCUUCGCUUUCUCCUUUUUCCCUUUUUUUGUGCUUUUUUCUUUCUCCUUUUUCUUUUGGCUUUUCUGAUAGCGUUUUUCUCCUGGCGUUGUGUUUUAAGUCUCUAAAUGAAACUUGACUGCCCCCACGGCCGGCUGGAGAAGCACAAAGGCCUCCCGUCCCACUGGCUACAGUAACGCCAUUGUGUGUCCUAACAAUGCAUUAAUUGGCGGCGACAAUUGUGUGUGUGUGUGGGGGGAGGCGGCCGCUCUUUUCCAAUCAGCAGGCCACUGAAAUAAAAGGAGAGGCAGAGGAGGACGGGAGGCCCAGGCUCCUGAUGGCGGGGGACAGACCCACAGAGGGGGCGCAGCACUGGGGUUUGUGCUGGGCUUUCUAAAUUAAUGAUAAACAUACAGGAGAAAAUAAUUACUUUGGGAAAAAAAUAUAGACUUCACUGCAGGCAACUCCAUAGUCCUGGUGGGGGUGGAGGGAGGCCAGGGUGAACCCCUCCAGGACAGCUCUUGGCAGGGGGUUGAGUUGAGCCCACCCCCACAGCAGCAUCUGUAUUUCUGCAAACCGAUGGGAAAGUGGGAGAGGCAGUGAAGGGAGGCUCGGAGGAAACCGGCAGGAUGGCUGAGGGGCCGUGCCCUUCGAGGCCCUCGCCCUUUGGCAGCCCGGAAGACUGCUGCAGAGCCCGGCGCUCCAUCCAGCCUGCAGGUUGUGGACUUUUUCUGUCAGCCAAGCUCUUACGUGCAGGAAGCUUUUUCUGCUCCUAAGAUCACUAUCCCAGUUUAAACAGGCAACCAACCGACCCAGAGAGCGGCCUUGGCUUCGGGGUUGGUUGCCUCGAGCUUCCUGGGGCGCUCCUGGGCUGCUGACCACCUCCCAUCUCCCUCCUCCUCCCACUGACCCCUAGACAGCGGGGACCCUCCUACCCAUCCUCUGCCCUCUCUCACAGAUUUUUGUGCCUUUUAUGUCAUGAAUAUCUUAUACUUUAAGGUGAAAUACUCUUCCAGCGGAAGAACUGAAUCAAGAGCGUGUGAAUGCUUGACAUCUUUUUGGUGAGUGCAUCGUGGGCCCUGCCGAUGAAGGCUCCUCUCUCUGCUCAGUUCUGUAGGAACCAACCCUGCUUCUCGAGCAGGUCGUUUCCAUUAGUCGGUUGUCCAGCCCCUUCUGAGUGUCACUGCCCUCAUGCUGGCGAUACAGCAAGCUCCUGAAGAAGCACCUCUUCUCAAUUAAACAAGUCUUCCUCCUACCUUGGCACAGCUCUCUGAGCACGGAGGUCGGGCAUGGGCACCCUGGCAGGGCCCACUCCUGUUGUUCAUGCUGCAGUGUCUGUUAGGUGCAAAGGUCAGGAUGACAUUGCAAAUGCAUGGGGAGAAAUUGUGUGGGAAAGGCGUUGUGUCAGACACCAGCUCUGGUUAACUUGAGAGAAGCCAUUUGUUGCACAGUUGAUAGAAUUUAAGGAAUAAAAAGAAACAGGUCUUCGGAAGAACAGAGUUCAACGUAGUUUCGAAGGAGUGGGAGCUAACAGCCAAUCCCUUUGAGGCUGCAGUCCAGUGUGUGCGCUCAGCUCCCCUCAAGGAUCACAUCCCUGCUGGCCUGGCUUGGGCCGGGGGCCCCAAAAGGAAGGGGACUUCGACGACAGGCCACCAGGACUUCCUUCCUCUGAAGGGAAAGCGGGACCCUGCACCUUAGAGGAGGCGAGAGGGAAGCUGGGGAGCCACAACCCAUCAUGAUUUAUCAGGCCUUCGGGAGGCGCACGCGUGUUCUUAUUUUUAUUUUGUAAAAAGUUUGCUGUUUGAACAAACUAAACAAAAAAUGUUUUUGGGGCAAUAAGAUGAAUUUGAUUUGGAACUAAGCGUCAGACGAUAAGGAAUUAUUGUCAAUUUCAUAGGUGUGUAAUUGCUUUGUGACUAUGUGGAAAAAAUAAACAUCUUUUUUAGAUGUGUACUAAGGCACGUGAGCAUAAAACGUCAUUAUGUCUUGGAUUUGCUUUGUGAUAUUUCCUCAAAAAAGUAAAAAAUGAAAACAAGAGUAGCUGAAACAAACCAGGCAAAAUCUAAUAAUUCUUAUUUUUGAAAAUGUUUAUUUUGAUUUUUGCAAGUCCUUAUUAGAGACACGCUGUGUGGCCUGCGUAUGAGCUGACUGGGUGCCAGAGGCACUGAUCUGGGGACGGUUGGGCAGGGCUAGUUCCCAGGACUCGCUGUCUGUUGUACGUGCUGACACACGCUCAACCUUAAGUGCCGCUCUGCGUGAGGCCAGCCAGCCAGCCAGUGCCCGGCUCUGCUCCCCUCAGCUCAGCGUGGAAUGGACGUGCGCAAGCGGGAGCUGCUUCCUGAGACAUCUGUCAUCAGGCAGCUCCUCUGGGCACUGGGGCUGCUGACGCUGCUUCCUCAGUUGCCUAACUCCGGACAGCAGCGAGAAAGCCAUUUGGGGAGGCUGACCCAGUUUAGAAUUCAAAUUCCCUUCCCUGCAUGUGCAAUUGGAAUUUAUUUCCUAUGCAAAAGGCAAGAAUCUCAGAGUAAAACACCUCUAGCUAGGCGUGGGUAUGUGAGCGCCGAUCCUGGUGAAAAAGGAUCUUGGUGUGUUUUCAUAAGGAUGCGCGCCUUGUGGUAUUCUCAGAACCUGACAUUAUCAAAAGUGUGUCAUCACGAUACAGUGCUGAAGCUAAGGCAAUUUGGAUGUCCUUGGGCCCAAAAUUAAUAUGUGCUUUGUAUAGUCUUGUAAUUUGGGAAGCAAUUUUCCAUAACACAGUGGGAGAUCUUCCUUUAUACAUCUGAGAUAAUUUAGCUCAAUGCUCAUUUGAAAAAAUUACUGCGCUAAUAGCAGCUCUUCAGCUUCAGAACAGCAGACCCUAUGGGGAGAACACAGAAGUCACGGAAAGUGAUUCUCCUGAGUCUGUCUGGGUUCGUCUGGACAAAAGCCGGCGGAAUUUCCCCCAGACCAACAGCUGCCUGAGAUUGUAUGGCAGGAUCCGAAAUAUUGUAUAAACUCAUGAACUCUAGCCGAUUUGCUGAAAGCCCAUAGCCCUGAAUGGAAGAAUAUUAAAUAAAGGUGGAGGAGUAAUGAAUUUCCCCAUUGUCCAGGUAAACUGGGAGUCAGUGCACAUGAGUUGGAAUUCCUGUAUGUUCAGCUAUGGGAACAAUUUGUUCUUCCUACUGGAUUUUUCUGCCCAAGCUACGAAGGAAGAGAUGUAAACAGCAGAAUAAAUUAUAUCUUUCUGCUGGGUGUGUUUUGCCUUGGGCUUCCUGGGUAUUAUGUACCAUCGGGGCAGAGGGUGGGGGACAAUCCUCUGCUCCAAUCAGAAUUUAAUACACUAAUAAAAAUAAAUUUAAAACAUUUUUUUCCCCA